rnacentral:rRNA from 1 species
UACGUAGGGCGCAAGCGUUUGUCCGGAAUUAUUGGGCGUAAAGAGCUUGUAGGCGGUUUGUCGCGUCUGCUGUGAAAAUCCGGGGCUCAACCCCGGACUUGCAGUGGGUACGGGCAGACUAGAGUGUGGUAGGGGAGACUGGAAUUCCUGGUGUAGCGGUGAAAUGCGCAGAUAUCAGGAGGAACACCGAUGGCGAAGGCAGGUCUCUGGGCCACUACUGACGUGAGAAGCGAAAGCAUGGGGAGCGAACAGG